UACGUAGGGCGCAAGCGUGUCCGGAAUUAUUGGGCGUAAAGAGCUCGUAGGCGGUUUGUCGCGUCUGCUGUGAAAACCUAAGGCUCAACCUUGGGCUUGCAGUGGGUACGGGCAGACUAGAGUGCGGUAGGGGUGACUGGAAUUCCUGGUGUAGCGGUGGAAUGCGCAGAUAUCAGGAGGAACACCCGAUGGCGAAAGGCAGGUCACUGGGCCGCAACUGACG
rnacentral:rRNA from 1 species